UGAGGAAUAUUGGUCAAUGGGCGGAAGCCUGAACCAGCCAAGUCGCGUGAGGGAAGACGGCCCUACGGGUUGUAAACCUCUUUUGCCGGGGAGCAAUGCCCAGCUCGCGAGCUGGGAAGGAGAGUACCCGGAGAAAAAGCAUCGGCUAACUCCGUGCC
rnacentral:rRNA from 1 species